rnacentral:rRNA from 1 species
UACGUAGGGUGCGAGCGUUGUCCGGAAUUACUGGGCGUAAAGAGCUCGUAGGUGGUUUGUCGCGUUGUUCGUGAAAACCCGCAGCUCAACUGCGGGCCUGCAGUCGAUACGGGCAGGCUAGAGUUCGGUAGGGGAGACUGGAAUUCCUGGUGUAGCGGUGAAAUGCGUAGAUAUCGGGAGGAACACCAGAGGCGAAGGCGGCCACCUGGACGAACACUGACGCUGAGACGCGAAAGCGUGGGGAGCAAACAGG